rfam:Pseudomonas sp. 5 contig18, whole genome shotgun sequence.
GGCCCACAUCUUGCUCAACCUAUCGCACUGGUAGCCAACGGCGGUUGCCCCUUCACGACAAAGACGUCGC